rnacentral:rRNA from 1 species
UCCCAGCAGUCCAAGUUGCAGCCACAAUUAUUGGGUCUAAAACAUCCGUAGCUUGCUUUGCAAGUCUCUUGUGAAAUCCUAUAUCUCAAGUAUAGGGCGUGCAGGAGAUACUGCAUUGCUAGAGAUCGGGAGACGUAAGAAGUACAAUCAAGGUAGUAGUAAAAUAUGUUGAUCUUGAUUGGACUAACAAUAGCGAAGGCAUCUUACGAGCACGAAUCUGACAGUGAGGGAUGAAGGCUAGGGGCGCGAAAAG